rnacentral:tRNA from 1 species
GGAUUGUGGCUCAGUGGUAGAGCGCUUGCCUAGCACAUGUGAGGCACUGAGUUUGAUCCUUAGCACCA